rnacentral:ribozyme from 1 species
UAAAGCAAUAGAAAUGAGAAAAGAGGGAGAAAAAUACUGUAAAAUGAUGAUGGAUUUAGGAACAGGUUUCUCUUUCUCUUUUCCUUAUUUCUUUCUUUUUUCUUUCUCUACAACAAUUUCUUUUUAAACAGGCGUAGAAGAGAGAGGUUAUGCGU